rnacentral:rRNA from 1 species
GAUGAACGCUCGCUACAGGCUUAACACAUGCAAGUCGAGGGGCAGCAUGGUCUUAGCUUGCUAAGGCCGAUGGCGACCGGCGCACGGGUGAGUAACACGUAUCCAACCUGCCGUCUACUCUUGGACAGCCUUCUGAAAGGAAGAUUAAUACAAGAUGGCAUCAUGAGUUCACAUGUUCACAUGAUUAAAGGUAUUCCGGUAGACGAUGGGGAUGCGUUCCAUUAGAUAGUAGGCGGGGUAACGGCCCACCUAGUCUUCGAUGGAUAGGGGUUCUGAGAGGAAGGUCCCCCACAUUGGAACUGAGACACGGUCCAAACUCCUACGGGAGGCAGCAGUGAGGAAUAUUGGUCAAUGGGCGAGAGCCUGAACCAGCCAAGUAGCGUGAAGGAUGACUGCCCUAUGGGUUGUAAACUUCUUUUAUAAAGGAAUAAAGUCGGGUAUGUAUACCCGUUUGCAUGUACUUGAUGAAUAAGGAUCGGCUAACUCCGUG